rnacentral:lncRNA from 1 species
UUAUGCAGCAACAACAAAACAACCAAUACAGCAGAGAAUAAAUACCCGACCUCUCACCCCCAAAAAGUUUAUAUUGAAAUCUCAAAUAAGAAGUUUAUACUGACUUGUGUAAAAGCAAACAAGAUCAGCUGCUAUGAAAUUUAGCAAGAUAGAUGACUAUAUACUUGCAAGGAAAUCCAUUUUGUGGGGCGACUAUAACAAGCCAUACAUUACAUAUUGGGUGUAAGACGCGACACACAUAAAUCCCAUUUGAUCAGCAUCUUCACUAAAAUAGCAUUGUGAACUCCAACCAGGUAACCAAACUAAUCUAACGAGAACCAGUGCUAGAACUUGAUGAGCGGAAAGGCCAUAGGAACGAGAACGGAUUCCUUCUCCUCUGACGCCCACUGGUUCUUCCACUGCUACUUGAGCUGCUUGAACUGUCAUUUUGGUUGGUUGAUCUUGAGCGUGAGCAGCUAGCACCACUAGAGCUCUGUGUUGGCAGCUCAUAUCGGCACACAGGGCAGGAAUUGUGUUGUUCUAGCCAAGGAAGUAUGCAAUCAGAGUGGUAUAAAUGCUUGCAUGGCAUCUCUCUUGCUUCUGAUCCCAGUUCAAACUUGUCCUUGCAGACAGGGCAAUGCGAGUCUCCAGUGAGAUGCCUGGCAGUGAUCCUAACACUAGGCAUGGCAUCAAUAGAUGACUGAGAGGCAGGUGGUGGCCCUCGACGAUCAUUAUGAGUCAACUGCUCAAUCAGAUCUUCUAAUCCAGGC